GUGGGGUAUGGUGACAUGUUACCUCAGACACCGAUUGGCAAGGUGAUUGGUUCAGCGUGUUGCAUUUGCGGAGUUUUGGUGGUAGCUCUGCCUAUUCCCAUAAUUGUCAACAAC
rfam:Echinococcus granulosus EG_S00064, whole genome shotgun sequence.